rnacentral:rRNA from 1 species
UGUGAACUCGAAGAGUAGGGCGGGACACGUGGUAUCCUGUCUGAAUAUGGGGGGACCAUCCUCCAAGGCUAAAUACUCCUGACUGACCGAUAGUGAACCAGUACCGUGAGGGAAAGGCGAAAAGAACCCCGGCGAGGGGAGUGAAAAAGAACCUGAAACCGUGUACGUACAAGCAGUGGGAGCACCUUAGGGUGUGACUGCGUACCUUUUGUAUAAUGGGUCAGCGACUUAUAUUCUGUAGCAAGGUUAACCGUAUAGGGGAGCCGCAGGGAAACCGAGUCUUAACUGGGCGUUAAGUUGCAGGGUAUAGACCCGAAACCCGGUGAUCUAGCCAUGGGCAGGUUGAAGGUUGGGUAACACUAACUGGAGGACCGAACCGACUAAUGUUGAAAAAUUAGCGGAUGACUUGUGGCUGGGGGUGAAAGGCCAAUCAAACCGGGAGAUAGCUGGUUCUCCCCGAAAGCUAUUUAGGUAGCGCCUCGUGAACUCAUCUUCGGGGGUAGAGCACUGUUUCGGCUAGGGGGUCAUCCCGACUUACCAACCCGAUGCAAACUACGAAUACCGAAGAAUGUUAUCACGGGAGACACACGGCGGGUGCUAACGUCCGUCGUGAAGAGGGAAACAACCCAGACCGCCAGCUAAGGUCCCAAAGUCAUGGUUAAGUGGGAAACGAUGUGGGAAGGCACAGACAGCCAGGAUGUUGGCUUAGAAGCAGCCAUCAUUUAAAGAAAGCGUAAUAGCUCACUGGUCGAGUCGGCCUGCGCGGAAGAUGUAACGGGGCUAAACCAUGCACCGAAGCUGCGGCAGCGAC